UGGGAAGUCUGGUGUCCACUCCACCUGGCUGCACCCUCCUAGUGGCCUCUGGGAAGGAGCUCCGUUCUCACCUCAGUGCCAGGGUCCCAAGCAAAGUCCUUCCGGCAGAUGUGGGCCAUGAUCCCUGCAGCCAGCGCGUCACCCAGCACAUUAAUCAUGGUGCGGAAACGGUCCCUGGAGAGACAAGGCCCCCCCCAGAUUAUGUGCCAGGCCUGUGUAGAUGAGGAAAGCAGCCGUGCUGUGACAAACAAAUGCAAACACAGUAGUGCCCCAUGGCCCUCUCCUCUGGGGAAGGGGCUCAGCUCUCUACCCUGCCAUGACUGUCCUGGCUGGGAAUGGGGCCGGGCCGGGCACAGGGUGCACUCACAGAGCCCAGUCCACGGCGAUGAUGAGGUUGAUAUCGUCAGUGGGCAGUCCCACAGAGCACCAUCGCCAUUCCCAGCUUUGUGAAGUGGGCUGCAGACAAAUGAUGGCCGGACAGAGGGACAGAGUUCUGUGCUGCCCACCCUACCCCUCUCAUCACCCCGGGCUACCUGGAGGAGGUGGCCAGCGCAAUGAGCAGGGCCUGGAGGACACCACGGAUGAAGACGAUGGGGUUCUUCUUCGUGA